rnacentral:rRNA from 1 species
CAAUAGCGUAUAUUAAAGUUGUUGCAGUUAAAAAGCUCGUAGUUGGAUUUCUGUCUUUGUUGUGCGGUCCACCGCGAGGUGAGCACUGUGCGAUGGGGACUUCCUCUCGAUGUUGUGCCGUGUUCUUAACUGAGUGCGGUAUUGACUCGGGACCUUUACUUUGAAAAAAUUAGAGUGUUCAAAGCAGGCCUACGCUUGAAUACAUUAGCAUGGAAUAAUUGAAUAGGACUUCGGUUCUAUUUUGUUGGUUUCUAGGACCGAAGUAAUGAUUAAUAGGGACAGUUGGGGGCAUUAGUAUUUAAUUGUCAGAGGUGAAAUUCUUGGAUUUAUGAAAGACUAACUACUGCGAAAGCAUUUGCCAAGGAUGUUUUCAUUA